GAGGCCUUAGCUUACUUAAAGUAUCUGAUUUGCAUUCAGGAGAUGUAGUGUUGAAUUUACAGGUCUU
rnacentral:tRNA from 1 species